GGCUCUGAGGACCUUAGGUGAUAGAUGGAAGGCCCAUAAGUAUAAUUUACGGGGAGAAUACUUCUUUCCUAACAAAAGAAAGGCAGAAAUUUUGGCUGUGAAUCCCUCGGACAUACCGCCUGUUGAAUGGACUGCUUUUGUGGAUCAUUAUAUGGAUCCUAAAACAAAGAAACAAUGUUUGCAAAACGCCAGAAAUCGUGAAAAGCUUAUAGUUUCACAUGCCGGUGGAAGUAAAAGCAAUGCUAGAAGAGCAACUCAAAUGAAAAAAAAAAUUAGGAAGGCCUGUAUGUCGAAGCGAGGUUAUUGUAUCAACUUUGCUAAAGAAAGAUGGGAGUUAUGUAAGCGGGGAAGGACAACGAUUAGCUGAAAAAAUAGCAGAGCAUUUGUCUGAAGACCAAGAAUGUGCUGCCACUGAAGGUAUUCAUUCAAAGGUUUUGGCUCAUCCGGAUGAUGCAAUUGGAAAAGUUUGCGGUCCUGAGAAUGGUAAGCGAGUACGUGGCUUUAGUAAUGCUGCAUGUCCCAGUGGUUUUGGUAAGUCAAAGCGCAUCUUUGGAGGGGCAAUAUGCAGAGGUUCUAGCAGUGCAUCACAACAACAUGUUGCAGAUUUAGAAAGACAACUUCAAGAAGCUAAAGGUCAAGUGGCAACUCUCCACAGAUUUCUACAACAGAAAUAUGGUGAUGAAGUACCUAUCUUCUCUGAUUCUGUGCCACACAUUGAG